rnacentral:lncRNA from 10 species
CGCGCCCCAGGCGCACGACAAGCCCUGCGUCAGGAGGUUGAGCACAGACCAUGUGGACAGCAGUGUGGUUGGCAAGUCAUUUAACUUUUCCAAACAAAUCUGCAAAAUGGAGAUAACAGCACCUGCCUCAUUGCGUUGUGAAGAAGAUGAAAUGUUUAGCCCGGUGCCCAACACCCAGUUCUCACUCUGUCAUCCAGGCUGGUGUGCAGUGGUGCAAUGUGGGCUUACUGCAGCCUUGACCUCCAGGACAAGUGAUCUCCCACCUCAGCCUCCGGAAUAGCUGGGACUACAGCUCAACAACGCCCCUCUGAAAGUAGGACUCUUGGAAAUGAACCUUGUUGGGAGUAAAGCUGAACCUUCACCUCUCCUUUCCAGGAUUCUACUCCAUUCAUACGGCCUCACACUGAAUUAAUGUUUCUAGCAGCCACAUUACUUUGUUACCCAAUUGAUCUAGUAGUAAAGUCUUCCCAUCUCUUCAUGUACCACUGGUUUAUUGACUCUUAAUGUAGGAUUCUACAUUUGUUUGUUGUUUAUCUUGUUAGAUCCAGCCUGUUGUUACAAUCUUGUAGGAAGUUAACUGGAUCCUGAUUCUACAUAUAGCUGAUUGACAUUUUGGAGGGUUUUGCAAUAACCAUUUCCCUUCCUGACAGCAUCCUAACUUCCUUUGGGGGACCUGUGUCUGUUCCCAUGUGGGCAGUCUUGGCCAGAAUGCAGUCCUAGGGCCCCCUACAGAAGCUGAGGAGUCUGGAUCCUUCCUCUCACUUCCCCUUGUGAACUCGCUGGGAGCCUCCUUUGGAGAUGUUGAGAUUCCCUCCACAGGCUCAGAGCUGGCCCGGUUCCCUUCCUCAGUUUCUCCUGAGAAGGGCAGGUGUGUGAGUGCCUGACCUCCCAGUCCAUGCAGGGCCAUCUGGCUGCUUGCUGGCUGCCCUCUUUGGAACCAGGGGCCCCAAUCCCAUCGCGUUUCUAAACCACCAACCGGCAGGCAUUCUGAGAUUCCAAACAAAUGCAAGAGAGAUUAGGAUCCCUUUGGCUAGAGGCCAAGGUGAAAGCUGAUCCUGCGGAAAGAGGAGACUGGCUGGGGUGGAGGUGAAUGUAAGCGGGGAACACGAGGUGCGCAGGUGUGGACGGGGAGUAUCUCAGCUCCAGAUGGAGCUCCCAGCAUCCUUCUGCAGACUCUGGGACGGCGGGGAUAAAUGGAAGGUGACUCCAAGUAUACAAGGGAUGGUCAAUAUCUCCUGUUCACCAAGCACUUGGUCUGCCAAAAACUAUGCUACACACCAUUAUUCUUUUUAAGUCCUCAUGACAACCCUAGGUUUUAUGUUUUUCAUUAUACAGCUGGCAAGCUGAAGCUCAGAGAAGUUCAAUAACUUGUUAAAGGUCAUGCAGCAACUAAGGGGCCAAGCCACAGGCCUGACUUUAGAACUAGUGCUCUUUGUUUUGAGAUGGAAUCUUGCUUUUGUAUUUUUAGUAGAGGCAGGGUUUCGCCAUGUUGGCCAGGCUGGUCUCAAACUCUUGGCCUCAAGUGAUCAGCCUGCCUCGCCCUCCCAAAGUGCUAGGAUUACAGGCAUGAGUCACCACGCCUGGCCAGAACCAGUGCUCUUAAUAGUAAUGACACCCUCCUGCCCCUCUGGAAGAACCUGAGAGAGGAAAGUGGGGGAGAGGGAAACCCCAGGCCUUCCAGGCGGCCCCUACUGUGUUAGGAGUUAAUUGAGUCCAUGAAAAUAGGCCCUCCAGUUUGGAUCUCUGUUGACUUCAAACCAACAGAGCUGAAAGUUGUUGUGACUCCCCAAGGAAAGAGUGAGAAAGAAAAGGCAAAGAAGAUGGGGCUGGCAAUGAUGAAAUCUCCUGCUUAGACAAAGCCCAGGACAGUUGGUUGGCAUUUUCAUUCUGGCUGGUUGCUCUGGCAGGCAUGAGAAAAUAAACAAAAGGGAGAACAGGUGGGAGAAAGUGCAGGCUGGUGAACCUUCUCUGUGCUCUGCCCACUGUCCUGAACUCUGAGGGCACGGGGAGUUAUACUCUUUUACCAAACUGGCCAAAUUCAGCCUGAAGGGCUCCUGGAGUCUUAGCCUACUCAUUCUCAGAUUUUAGCUUCCACCAACACCAACUAAACAAACCUGAUCUUUUUAAAGAGGUUUUUUGUUUGUUUUUUGAGACAGAGUCUCUCACUUUCACCCAGGCUGGAGGGCAGUGGCACAAUCUCAGCUCACUGUAACCUCCGCCUCCUGAGUUCAAGCCGUUUUCCUGCCUCAGCCACCCGAGUAGCUGGGACUACAGGAAUGCACCACCAGGCCUGGCUGAUUUUUGUAUUUUUGGCAGAGAUGGGGUUUCACCAUGUUGGCCAGGCCGGUCUCAAACUCCUGACCUCAAGUGAUCUGCCUGCCUUGGCCUCCCAAAGUGCUGGGAUUACAGGCGUGAGCCACCACACCUGGCCAAGAGUUAUUUAUUUUUUUUGUGUGUGAAAUCUGAUGCCACUUUAAAAUCAGCAGAUCCUUACCCCAUUCCCUUUCACUCUCAAUUCCCACUUUCUGGAAGUAAUUAUUGUCAAGUCUUUCUGGUACUUCUGGUUAUUUCUUCUGGUAUUUAUCCUAUUUUCACAUCAGAUUUAUGCGGCUAAUGUUAAUUAUUUUCAGUUUUGGGGGUUAAUCUAUUGACUACUAUGAAGAUAAUAUGAAAAUGUAGUUCUUCUAUUACUUUCCAUAUUUUUCUGUAGUUUUUUGGUAUCAUUAUUCUGCAUUUACAAUACUAGAACUGUGAAACAAGUAUUCAAGCUGAUUCAAGAAGUGUGCUGUGAGGAUAAUAAUUCCCUCUCCAGACAUUGUUUCUCCUGCAGUAAGUACUGCUUGGUUUUUCAUUUGCUUAAUUUUCCAUGCAUCUAUCACUAAUUCAUUCCCCUUAAUCUUUCCUUAAAGUGAAAAACAAUUGAAAGAUUUAAUUUCCCAUUCAGAUAACAUUUUCAGAGAUUCACAGAAUUCUACAGAGACAACAAACAACAUGGUUUCUUCGACAGAUGAAUGUCUUGAAAAAAAAGGGAGGGAGGGAAAACUGUUACAUAAGAGAUUUAAGAGAUAUAGCAACCAAAUGCCACGUGGGGGCCUCGUUGGGAGCCUCAGUCAAAUAAAUCCACUGUGGAAAAGACAUUUUAAGACAAUUAGGGAAAUAUGAACACAGAUUGAGUCUUAGGACAUAUUAAGGUAUAAGCAUGUUUGCAUCGGGUGAAAUAAUGGCCUUGUGGGUUAUGUGUAAAAAAUUCCAUAUCUGUUAUGAUACCUACGACUUAUGUGUGAAAUGACAUACUUGUGAUUUACUUUGAAAAUAUCCAACUUCCCUGCUCCCUCCCCUCCCACAAAAAAGUGAUUUUGGGAGAUACAUUAAAAAAUUCUGGGCCAGGGGCAGUGGCUCACGCCUGUAGUCCCAGCACUUUGGGAGGCCAAGUCAGGUGAAUCACCUGAGGUCAGGAGUUCGAGACCAGCCUGGCCAACAUGGUGAAACCCCGUCUCUACUAAAAAUCCAAAAAUUAGCCAGAUGCAGUGGUGCACGCCUAUAAUCCCAGCUACUCGGGAGGCUGAGGCACGAGAAUCGCUUGAACCCGGGAGGCAGAGGUUGCAGUGAGCCAAGAUCGUGCCACUGCACGCCAGCCUGGGUGACAGAGCAAGAUUCUGUCUCAAAAAAAAAAAAAAAUUCUGGUAAAAUAGUGAUAAUUACUUUAUUAUUAUUUAUUUAUCGUUUUGAGACAGGGUCUCGCUCUGUCUUCCAGGCUGGAGUGCAGUGGUGCAAUGAUGGCUCACUGCAGCCUUGACCUCCUGGGCUCAAGCAAUCCUUCCACCUCAUCCUCCUCGGUAGCUGGGACUACAGGCAUGUGCCACCAUGCCUGGCUGAUUUUUUUUUUCAUUUUCUUGUGAGGCCUCACUAUGUUGCCUAAACUGGUCUCCAACUCCCAGGCUCAAGUGAUCCUCCCGCCUCACCCUCCCAAAGUACUUGGAAUGCAGGCAUGAGACAUUGUGCCUAACCUAUUUUACUGUUUUAGAGACAGGGUCUCAAUCUGUUGCCCAGGCUGGAGUGCAGUGGCACAGUCAUGGCUCACUGUAAUCUUCAACUUCUGGGCUCAAGCAACCACCCACCUGCCUCAGGCUCCUGAGUAGCUGGGACUACAGGCAUACGCCACCAUGCCCAGAUAACUUUAUUUUUUGUAGAGACAGGGUCUUGCUAUGUUGCCGGGCCAGUCUUGAACUCCUGGCCUCAAGCAAUCCUCCCACCUCAGCCUCCUAAAGUGCAAGGAUUACGGGCGUGAGCCACUGCACCUGGUCAGUACUUUAUUCUUUUUACUGCUGAAUAAUACGCCAUUGUAUGGCUAUACCAUAUUUCAUUUAUCCAUCUGUUAGCUGAUAGACAUUUGGGUUGUUUCCCACCUUGUGGCUACUAUGAAUAUUCAUGUAUACAUAAUUGUGUAGACAUGUUUUCUUUUUCUUCUUUCUUUUUUUUUUUUUUUUUUUGAGACAGAGUCUCGCUUUGUGGCCCAGUCGGUAGCCCAGGCUGGAGUGCAGUAGUGCGAUCUCAGCUCACUGCAACCUCUGGCUCUCAUGUUCAAGCAAUUCUCCUGCCUCAGCCUCCUGAGUAGCUGGGACUACAGGAGGCUCGAUCCACCUGCCUUGGUCUCCUAAAGUGCUGGAAUUACAGGCAUGAGCCAACGCACCUGAUCUGGACAUAUGUUUUCUUUUCUUUUUUUUUUGAGAUGGAGUCUCACCCUGUUGCCUAGACUGGAGUGCAAUGGCAUGAUCCUGGCUCACUGCAACCUCCACCUCCCAGGUUCAAGCGAUUCUCCUGCCUCAGCCUCCCGAGUAGCUGGGAUUACAGUGGCGCGCCAUCACGCCCAGCUAAUUUUUGUAUUUUUAGUAGAGACGGGGUUUCACCAUGUUGGUCAGGCUGGUCUCGAACUCCUGACCUCGUGAUCCGCCUGCCUCGGCCUCCCAAAGUGCUGGGAUUACCGGCAUGAGCCAUUAUGCCCGGCCAGUAUGUUUUCACUUCUCUUGGGUAUAUAUCUAUUUAGGAGUGGAACUGCUGAGUCAUAUGGAAAUUUUACAUUAAAACUUUUGAGGACCUGCCAGACUUUUCCAAAGUAGCCUUGUGACUGGUGGGGAGACUGAGGCCCAAAGAGGGAAACUGUCUUCUGCAAAGCAACACAGUGAGUGUGAGAAAGCAGGAGCUAAUCAUGGACAUGACUUCAAUGCUGCGCCUUCUCCUCUGACCGCAUUACCAUCUCACUCUCACUCCAGUGCUCUCCAUACCCACUUCUGCCCCUCCAUUCCAUUCCUUGCCCAGCAGCAAAUCCCUUCACACCAGUCCCUACAAAGGCUUCCUGCUGCCAUCAUCAGGAUGAAGUUCCGCCUCUGAGGGAUGACUUAUAAGCUCCUCUGCCAUCUGGCCCUAGUGCUGCCUCCUCAUCUUGUCUUCUGAAGCAGUUUUAGUGAGCUAUAAUUCGCACCCCACCCCAUUCACCCGUUUUAAGUGUACAAUCCAAAUGUUUAUCAGUCCUUUCAUACUCUACACUGCAGGGUCAUGCAGGUCUUGUUUCAGUUCCAUGAAAACACCAACAUCUUUGCUUCUGAGACUUUGUGCACACCGUUACCUCUGUUUAGAACAGUCUGUAUAUUUUUUUCUGGCAAGUUCCUCAUGAUCUUUCACAUCUUAGUUGAGAUGUUUCUGCUGGGAAGCCUUCCCUGAGCAUUCGGGUUGACUGGAUGACCUGCAGGAUGUUCCCAUGGCCUCCCUAGGAUCGUCCCUGUCACAGCAUGUACUAUAGUAGUCUGAGGUUUUUUGGUUUUUGUUUUUUUUUUGAGAUGGAGUCUCACUCUAUCGCCCGGGCUGGAGUGCAGUGGCGCAAUCUCGGCUCACUGCAAGCUCCACCUCCUGGGUUCACGCCAUUCUCCUGCCUCAGCCUCCAAAGUAGCUGGGCCUACAGGCACCCGCCACCAUGCCCGGCUAAUUUUUUUGUAUUUUUUAGUGGAGAGAGGGUUUCACCGUGUUAGCCAGGUUGGUCUAGCAGUCUGAGUUUUUAAGGUCUGUGACUGUGUCUUGUUCAUAUGCAGUGCCUGGCAACACUCAAUUCACUAUUGGUUGAAUGAACAGAAAGAUCUGAAAAUAUCUAGCAUGGCCCUGAGCACACUGUAGAAAUCCUGCAAAUGUUUGCAGACCGCAAUUACUUCCAAGGACAGGGACAGCACCUCCUGUUGGGAACAUUCCAGAUGGUUUGGAUGAUUAAAGGUAAGAUAAGAUAUUUUUUGUCUGGUACCCAUGCCACUUCUUCAGGCAACAGCAUCCCAGUUUUCCUUUGGGGAAUCACUCUUAUUAUACCUUCAGUUCUUAUAGUUUAUGAGAAGCUAAGCAGUUCCUGGAAUUUGCAGUUGACUUAAGGCAGAUGAGUUAAGAUGCAACCCUAACUUUUCCUAGAUUUUUUAAAAAGGGGUGCUUUCUUUUCACUAGGAUUACUAAUCUCGUGCCUCUAUAAGAAAACUAACUGUCUAAGAAGCAGACUUGAGAAAGCAACUGAGUCCUGAUGAUAUCAUGAGAGGCCCUGGACCCAGCUGUGCCUGAAGCCAACCACCAGACAUUUUAGUUAUUGAGUCAAUUUCCAUUCCUUUUUAAUUGCUUGAGUUCAGCUUGUCACCUGCAACUGCAAUAUUCCUAAUCCAGUUAGUAACCCUCUUUCACAUACACACAUACCCAUCACACACCUUACAGACCAAACAGAGGAAUCGAGCUGACUUUUGUCCCUAAGCACGGGUUUACCUACUCACCUCAAAUCUAAAUUGUAUUUUUCUGAGUUGUGUUGUGCAGUUGACUGUCAAUAUUUAGCUUUCCUUGUACGGUACUUUCUAUACCAAGCUUGUCUGGCCUGUAGGCUGCAUGCCGCCCAGGACAGCUUGGUAUGGGGCCCAACACAAAUUCAUAAACUUUCUUAAAACAUUGUUUUUUGUUUGUUUUGUAGCUUAUCAGCUAUCGUCAGUGUUAGUGUAUUUUAUGUGUGGCCCAAGACAAUUCUUAUUCCAGUGUGGCCCAGGGAGGCCAAAGGAUUGGACACCCCUGUUCUAUUCCAUGAUCAGCAAGUAGACAUUUGCGGUGUCCUAAGUAGUAUCAGGUGAUAAGUCAAGGUGGAUGGAAGAGAUGCAAUUCUCAUUUAUAGCCUGGCCCAAAUUGAACUCCAAGAAACACACACAAUAAGCACUGCUCCCUAAGCCUGUGCGCUGUUCUGGAAAGAGCCUACUAAAACAACCUUGGCUUUUCUUUUUGACUCGCUGAUGCCAAGGACAGGUCUGUGCAUUUACUACCAGUACAAUGGGACAGGAAAGUCUCACACACAUUUUUUUAUUCUUUGAGAUGGAGUUUCACUCUUGUUGCCCAGGCUGGAGUGCAGUGGCACGAUCUCGGCUCACUGCAACCUCUGCCUCCCAGGUUCAAGUGGUUCUCCUGCCUCAGCCUCCCGAGUAACUGGGAUUACAGGUGCACACCACCAUGCCUGGCUAAUUUUUGUAUAUUUAGUAGAGACGGGGUCUCACCAUGUUGGCCAGGCUGGUCACACACAUUUUAACCACCCAUCUUUGCUACAAGGGAAAAAGGCCAAACCUUGUGUGGGUGAAGAGGCAGACUCAAAUGCUCCCGAUGCAGAGGAACGAGGCGGCUACCACUCAAUCACCAAUUACCAUUUGCAUGCUACCCAACCUGGACCUUUCCAGGGCAUACUGGACCACUCCCCACUUCCUUGGGGUGCAAUGAAUUGCAGACAGUUUAAUCCAUGGGCUUUUGCUGAUUCUGUUUUCUCUGCUUGGAAUGCCCUUCUACACAGAGGAAGUCUUUCAAGACCCAGGUCAAAGGUUAGCUCUCCUGUGAACACUUGUUCCUUUUCUAUCUGGUAUAAGCAGCCAUUUUAACUAUCGUUAAAGGUCAGGGUUUCUUAACUUGGGUCUGCGGGUCAUUAUGAAUAAGUUUUAGAGGGACAUGUCUGUAUCUAUGUCCACAUAUGUUACUCUGGAGGCCAGGGUCAGAGAUUCCAGAUUCUCAGAUUCGGUGACCUCAAAAAAAGGUCUCUUUUGGCCAGGCACAGUGGCUCAUGCCUGUAAUCCCAGCACUUUGGGAGGGUGAGGCAGGAGGAUGGCUUGAGCUCACAAGUUCAAGACCAGUCUGGGCAACAUAGCAAGGUAUCGUCUCUAAAAAAAUAAUAAAAAAUUUUAAAAAGCUCUUAGGUGUCUCUCUCUUGUGAGUUGAGGGCAAGGUUCACAUCUCUUUCGUCUUAGACUCCCCGCACUGAUCCAAGAUAGACAGUCAACUGCUGGC